GGGCUGGGGGCUAGGGGCCGCGGGCCGACCGGCUACAGGCAGGGGCUGCGCGGUUGGGUAGCGGCCGCGUUACGGCCUCGCCUCCGGGCCGGGGCCGGAGCGCAGCCGGGGGACCGAGCGCAGCUUCUUCCCCGCACCGGGAGGCUACUUUAGGCGACUUGGGGCGCGUCCCGCCAUGGAAGCAGCCGGAGGCAUCGACAACCCGGCUUUCGUCCCAUCCAGCCCCGGCCUCCAGCGUCAUUUGCCGGAGCCUCCUGCCGAGGAGGAGGUCUCCAGGUCGGCCUCCCAACCCAGCUCCCCGGAGGAACAGGGGGCGCCGCCGCCGCCGCCCGCCCCCAAGCAGCGGGCACAGGCGCAGCCCCCGGAGCUGGAGGAGGGCUUGUGCGGUUGGGGAAACUUCACACAGGACUGUCUGCAGCACUGGAACAACCCCAAGGGCUUCCUGUUGCACUACUGCCUCCUGGCACUGGCCCAAGGUAUUGUGGUAAAUGGAUUAGUAAAUAUCAGCAUAUCCACCAUUGAAAAGCGCUAUCAACUGAGCAGUUUCAUGACUGGGCUGGUGUCAUCAAGUUAUGAUAUUUCAUUUUGUUUGUUAUCAUUGUUUGUAUCGUUUUAUGGAGAAAGAGGACACAAGCCAAGAUGGCUUGCAUUCGCAUCCUUUAUGAUAGGAUUGGGGUCACUUGUAUUUUCUUUGCCUCACUUUACUAGUGGAAAAUAUCAAUUGGCAUCUGAAUUUAAAGAUACCUGCCCAGAAACAAGAAUCAACAGCACUUGUCAACACUACAUAACAUCUUCGCUUUCAAACUACCUAUAUGUCUUCAUACUUGGACAGAUGCUACUGGGAGUUGGAGGAACACCUCUCUAUACUUUGGGAACAGCCUUUAUUCAUGACAGCGUUCCCACACACUUGUCCUCUCUCUAUAUAGGAAUUGGCUAUGCUAUGUCUGUCCUUGGCCCUGCUAUUGGCUAUGUAUUAGGAGGACAACUUUUAACCAUCUAUAUUGAUACCAAUAUAGAAGAAGACAUUGACAUCACUGAAGAUGAUCCACGCUGGCUGGGUGCAUGGUGGAUAGGAUUUCUUAUUUCCUGCUUCCUGGGAUGGUCUAUGAUUAUACCUUUUUCUUGCUUUCCAAAGCAUUUACCAGGCACCAGUUUAGUACGAGCUGGAAAAGUUUCUCAGGUCCAUCAGGAUGAUAAUAUAACAAAAUUUCAAGAUGAGGAAUUUGGAAAGAGUUUUAAAGAUUUGCCAGCAUCUCUUCUGAUUUUGCUGAAGAAUCCUGCCUUUAUGUGUUUAGUUCUAUCCACCACCACAGAAGCCUUGAUUACUACUGGAUUUGCUACCUUUUUACCUAAAUAUAUAGAAAAUCAAUUUGGAAAGUCAUCCAGCUAUGCAGCUACCCUUGGAGGGAUUGUUUUAAUACCAGGAGCAGCUCUUGGGCAGAUUUUGGGGGGUGUCAUUGUUUCCAGGUUCAAAAUGUCUUGUAAAGAGGCUAUGAAAUUUGCAGUACUUUCAUCUACAGCAUCUUUUUUGCUGACUAUGACUCUAAUUUUUAUGAAAUGUCCAAAUGAGGCUUUUGCUGGAGUUUUUCAACCAUAUAAAGGAGCAGAAAGCAUAGGAAACAUCACAGCCCCUUGUAAUUUGAGGUGUAAUUGCUCUCGCUCAUUUUAUUAUCCUGUCUGUGGAAGAGACAGUCUCCAGUAUUUCUCUCCCUGCAUUGCAGGUUGUACGUCUUCAAAUACAAUAGAGCAUCAAAAGGUGUAUUAUAACUGUUCCUGUGUGGGACAGAAAAAACGACUACUAUCAACUGUGGAAGGUGAUGUCAUAGAUGCUCAAUCUGGGAAAUGUGAAUCACGAUGCAAGAAUUUACCCAUAUUCUUUGCCUUUUUCUUUGCUACGGUUGUGUUUACUUUUAUGGCUGGUACUCCAGUUACUGUGGCCAUCCUCAGGUGUGUAUUUGACAGACAGCAUUCUCUUGCCCUGGGCGUACAAUUCAUGCUUAUCCGAUUAUUGGGCACCAUUCCUGGACCGAUGUACUUUGGCAUUGCAAUAGACAGCUCUUGUGUACUGUGGGACCUUAACGAUUGUGGAGUUAGAGGAGCUUGUCGGAUUUAUGACAAUUUCAAAAUGGCCUACAUGCUAGUAGGAAUAAGUAUCCUUUGUAAAAUAAUUACUAUCCUCUUCAAUACUUUUGCACUAAUAUUAUACAGACCUCCUUCAUCAGACGCAAGUGGAUCAUUGCAUUCAACCAAUCAAGAGGGUGAACAAGAAAUGGAUCUUGAAACCAAGACUUUUUAAAAAAAAACCUGAAGAGAACAUUUGAUAACUGACAGAUUGAUGUGUUAUGGCUGCAUGGGAAUUCCUAGUGAAGAAAUUCUCGCUGCCCAGUGUGUACCAGCAAGUGUUCUUCAACUUAUAGUCUCAGAAAGCAUUUGACUUGCCCAGGAUCAUGUGGCUAACAGUCACUUGAAUAUAAUUUUAGAAAUAAAAAUACAUUUCAAAAGUGUAGUCUAAUAGGAUUCUAUAUUUGAGAGUCAGUUUAAUUUUGCAGCUGUUUUCAUAUCUGAAAUGUUACUUAGUCAUUUCCUUUCCCCUCCCUUCUUCCAAACACUAGAUCCAGCAGGUACACUGGAUCACUGGAGUACACCAUAGAUCAUAAGAUCAUAGAGAGAAGAGAUGGAAAAUACAUUAGAAAUUAUCAAGCCUAACUGCUCAUUUUGCAGAGGAGGAUAUUGAGUCCCAACAAGGUAAGGGAUUUGCCCAACUUUACACAGGACGUAUUUGGAAGAAGUGGGAUUUAAUCUAUAUCUUCUGAUUCCAGAAGAUCUCCCUGCUGCGCCAUGCCAUAUUUUUGUAAUCAUGGAUUAUCAAACAUAGCUUUGCGAUACUAACACAAAGAUUUCAGAAAUAAAUGAGAACAGACUGAAAAUUCAGGCCAGUCAUAAAUCAACAAUGGAUUGAGAUUUCUGGUAAGCAGCAUAAACAAAAUAUAUUUUCCCAGGAGAAAACACUUAUUAAGUCUUAUACUCACAUUAGUCUGUAGAAGGAUUGUGCCCUUUGUGGCCUCCAUGAUACUAAAAUUUCAAUUUAAGUCCAAACAAAAUUUUUAGGUCCCCAGUAUGUGUAAAGUCCUAUGCCCAGGAUACAUCUGUUUUAAGGUAGCUAAGCAGUCACUAUGCUCUUGAGUGCAGCUUAUCCCAGUGCCAGGGUUGAUAACUAUGACUUGCCCUGUACCACCUUUAGUGUUCCUGGCCCACCAGCUAGGGCGUCUCCCUCCCUGGGAGAUCCAUGGUGGGAGAGAGGGGAAAGAUGAUAUCAAACUUCUUGCCUUAAGAUGCCUAUGCUAAUGGUUGUUAUUCAGUCGUUUUUCAGGUUUAUCUGACUCUGUGACCCCAUCUGGGCUUUUCUUGCUAAAGACACUAGAGUGAUAUGCCAUCUCCAGCUCAAUUUGCAGAUGAGGAAACUGAGGCAAACAGUUAAGUGACUUGCCUAGGGUCACACAGCUCACAUGACCAGAAUAGAACUCAUGAUGAAUCUUCCUGACUUCAGGCCCAAUGUUCUAUCCACUCCACCAUCUAGCUGCUAGCUCUGCUAAGCAGCUGCUCCCCUACUCUGUGAGGAUUAGGUAAGGACUCCCGUACCUUCAUCCAAAAUCCCAGGGUUGCUGCCACUUUCAGGUAAAUAAAUACACAUUCACCAGAAUUAUGUAAAGAAAUUUUCAUUUAUACAUCACUACAAAACAAGCUUCCUUCUAACAAUACUAUAUCUAAGGAAAUAAAUCACAGGGCUAGCAUAGCAGCACAGUAUGGUAGUGAUGAGAGACUUCAGUUAUCCACGUAUGUGCUGGAGCUUUCUUUUUCUUUGUCAAAAGCAGGAUAACUAGUCAUUUCUUCAGUGAUAAAUUCCUACUUCAAAAGAUGAAAGAACCAACAAUAAAUUCUUUUCUGAAUCAUAUUCUGUCCAAAAGACAGGAAUGAACUGACUGCUGAGCUAUAAAUGAUGGAAAUCUGAGAGGAAAGGACCAGUCUUUUAGAGUUCAUGAUGAGGGAGAAGAAAGCUGGAAAUAGUCUCAUAUGCUCCUAAAUUGUUGCAGAGUAAGAAUCAGGUGGACUAAAAUUCUACAAUGUUGUUUGUCCUUCAUUUCUG